UGUCAUCGUGUUCAAGAUCGACGUUUAACGAGUCAAUGCUCUCCUCAACACUUAUCCUAGAGGAAUUAUCCGGCUGAAAUUUCGUGUUAUUCUUCGCCGCGUUCGGACGACAUGGCUCGACGUGUGACCGACCUUGCUGUUGACUACGGCACGCGCCAUUGGAACUUGGAACAAUGGGGGCCCAAAGUGACACGACCCUGAGCAUCCUCUUCGAGAUCCCUCUGCUGCAAGAACACCAUACCUGUGAUGCCGAG